UACGUAGGGGGCAAGCGUUGUCCGGAAUCAUUGGGCGUAAAGAGCUCGUAGGCGGUUCAGUAAGUCGGGUGUGAAAUCUCCGUGCUCGACACGGAGCGGCCACCUGAUACUGCUGUGACUCGAGUCCGGUAGGGGAGUGUGGAAUUCCCGGUGUAGCGGUGAAAUGCGCAGAUAUCAGGAGGAACACCAAUGGCGAAGGCAGCACUCUGGGACGUGACUGACGCUGAGACGCGAAAGCGUGGGGAGCAAACAGG
rnacentral:rRNA from 1 species